rnacentral:lncRNA from 1 species
UUUUUUUUUUUUGCAUGUCUGCUGAUAACAUAUGUAUAUAAUACCUUUAAUAGCAAGUCUUUUAACCUACUUUAGAUAUGUGUUUAUUAUAUUUAUUUUUGUUUCAAUCUUGAGGAUUGCAGCAAUAUGAAUACCAAAAGAGUACCUAUAUAUAAGAAUCCUUUUAUUUUGCUGCAUUUACUCAAAAAGUAGAGAAUCUUUCUAGCAAGACAUCUCAGUGGGCAAAGACCAACCUGAGUUCAUCUCCUGGGAUUCUAGUGGUGCAAAGAGAGAGCCAGAUUCCCACAGCAUGAGGUCCUCUGAUUCCCCAUACUUGUAUAAUGUGUGCGCACACACAUUAAAUUAAUAACUGUAAUAAAAUAUUAACUAUCAAAGGCUUAGACACAGACCGUAUUUUAAGUGAGGAUAAACAGGUUCUCAUAAAUUGGAACCAGAAGGAAAACCAUCUGUAUUCUGUAUAUUAAUCUAAUACAAGUAGUUCGUAUAAGUAGAAUCAAAUAAGUGUUGUCUUACUUCAUUAAAUAUCAUGCCUUUCAGCUCAUCCGUCUUGUGUCAUCCCCUUUCUGUUUAAGGCAGAACAGUACUCCAGUGUGUGGCUCUACCAUUAUUGGUACUAGAUACUUAGCUCCUUUUGACUAUUUCGAAUAAUGUUGCUGUGUAUACUAGUAUGUACAUAUCUGGCUAAAUCUUUCCAUUCAGAACUUUUAGGUCCUUUUCUCUUCUUUUAGUUUUACGCUUAGGUUAGAGUUAUUGGAGCAUGCUGUGAUUGUUGUAUUUUUAAUUUCUUAAGACCUGUAAUAUUGUUUUCUACGGUAACUGUUCUGUUUUACACAUCUAUCAGUGUCUGAUGGUCUUGGUCUCAAAUUGUUGUGUCUCAUUGGAGUUCUGCCUUUCAUUUCCCUAGUGAUUUUUAAUCAUACGGCAAAAAGACAUAAUUAUUACUUUACCUUUGUAAAAAAUGGCUACACCAUUCCUAAUCUUUGUGUUCAGUAUUAAAAGAACUUACCCCCUACUGCUUGACUUUUUUCCUCUUCAUCUAUGAAUGGCUAUUUUAAUUUUUUGAAGUGAGCACACACAGCAUUAAGUUUCGUUAUGGUACUUAAAGAAAAGUUGCUCAUGCGUUUCUCCUCCCUCCCCGUUUCCCUGGCCCGUCCUUGUCCUUGUCCUCAUUCCUACUUGGCUCUCCUCUUCUGCGCUCUCAUUGUCAUACCUCCCAUUGCUCCUCCUCUGCUUCCUUAGCACCCUGCCCUUCCUGUGCCCUCCUUCCUAGUCUAUAAUUGUCCAUUUUAACGAUCUGUGAGGUUUACUAGUUUACAGCCUAACAAAAUAGUCUGUAAAACAAUUAAAAUACAAAUGGAAAUGAAAUUUAUUUUCUUUUGACAUGCAGAAUAGAGAUAUGAUUUUAGGUCUUUAAACGUGGAAUUUUUGCUUCAUCUUAUGAGUGAAAGGAGGUACAGCUCCGUAAGUAGGAUCCCAUGGCCGAUGUGACAAGGCUGACUAAGCACUGCCCCAUGGGAAGGCAGUGCUGACUUUUCCUAUUUUGACCUGUGUAUUUUCUCUGUUUCUGGAUAGGAUUUGGAAGUGGAUGAGUUGAGCAGAUGCGUCUUAGUUGUACAAUUACUCCAGGUUCUUUGGAGAAGAGAUUUCUGCCAACUAAAAGAUUUCCUUUUUUGAUACUACUUUGCUCAGUUACCUGUAAACAGUUACAGAGUUCUCUAGUUUCUUGCCAUAGGUCUGUCUUUUUAGCAUUUUGAACAUCUUUUCUUUUAUCAACAGUACAGUUUAGAAGGAGGAGACAAGACUUUUUACAGAAUUUCAUUGCUAUUCUGCGACUGUUGUGUCUAAUAGAGUUACUGAAAUCAUGAAUCAAAUUCAUAGUUGAAAUUUCUGAUUUAUUAUUAUAAAAAUUCAUUUUUAUAAAGAGGACCUAACUAUUCAUGUACUAUAGGUUCCACUAAAACUCAUUUCUAUUUGGAAUUAUUUUUAUUUAUGUAUAUUAAUGAUAUUAGUAAAUAUAAAUACUUAGCACAAGAUUGUUUAACAGUUUUGUUCAAGCAUAUGUUCAUUUUUAGUUUACAUUGUUUUCAAUAAAAUACAAAACACUUUAAAAACAUUUUAUACUGUAAAAAUGCUGUCAUGAAAGGAAGAAUUUAAAAUUUGCACAAAAUUGUAGUACACAGCCUAAUUUGGUCAUUGGAGAUUUCUCUUUCCUGGUUUUAAUAAGUCAUACUUUCUUUAAAAGAGACCUUUGAGUCAUCCUGUGUUUAAGAAACUUCCUUUAGUAUUGAAGAGGGUGAGCAGGAAAUGUUUCCUGUGUACUGAUUUGCAUACUGCUGCCCUUUUAGUUAGCUGUGAGUGUUUUAGUAAAUGUUCAGAUCCUGAGGACUCUGGUUAUAGAUUUAUAAUUUGAUGCUGUUACUGGGAAGUGUUAAAAAGUUGGAAAUGAGAGUUACUUGGAGGUAGUAGUCACUGGUCUCUAUCUUGUUCUCUACCCCCUACUCGUUCUGUCUCUUUCUGCUUUUGUCCCACCACUGUAAGCAGCUCUGUUAACAGCAUCUGCUCUUAGGGUAUUUAUUCCUUCUUCUCUCAGAUGUACAUCUAUGGAUCCAGCCAACCAUGAGGCAAAAAUAAAACCUUCGUCCCUUGACGAUGUCAGGUAUCCUGUAAUAGUGU